GUUCCUGGCUCAGGAUAAACGCUGGCGGCGCACAUAAGACAUGCAAGUCGAACGAACUUAACCAUUAGUUUACUAUUGGAGCGGUUAGUGGCGGACUGGUGAGUAACGCGUAAGCAACCUGCCUAUCAGAGGGGAACAACAGUUAGAAAUGACUGCUAAUACCGCAUAUGCCUUAGAAUCACAUGGUUCAAAAGGGAAAGGAGCAAUCCGCUGAUAGAUGGGCUUGCGUCUGAUUAG
rnacentral:rRNA from 1 species